AGGCAGCAGUGGGGAAUUUUGGACAAUGGGCGCAAGCCUGAUCCAGCCAUUCCGCGUGAGUGAAGAAGGCCUUCGGGUUGUAAAGCUCUUUCGCAAGGGAAGAAACGAUGGUGAUGAAUAAUCACUGUUAAUGACGGUACCUUGAUAAGAAGCACCGGCUAACUACGUGCCAGCAGCCGCGGUAAUACGUAGGGUGCGAGCGUUAAUCGGAAUUACUGGGCGUAAAGCGUGCGCAGGCGGCUUUGUAAGUCAGAUGUGAAAUCCCCGAGCUCAACUUGGGAACUGCGUUUGAAACUACAAGGCUAGAAUAUGUCAGAGGGGGGUAGAAUUCCACGUGUAGCAGUGAAAUGCGUAGAGAUGUGGAGGAAUACCAAUGGCGAAGGCAGCCCCCUGGGAUAAUAUUGACGCUCAUGCACGAAAGCGUGGGGAGCAAACAGGAUUAGAUACCCUGGUAGUCCACGCCCUAAACGAUGUCUACUAGUUGUUGGUGGAGUAAAAUCCAUGAGUAACGC
rnacentral:rRNA from 1 species